rnacentral:rRNA from 1 species
GAUGAACGCUGGCGGCGUGCCUAAUACAUGCAAGUCGAGCGAACGGACGAGAAGCUUGCUUCUCUGAUGUUAGCGGCGGACGGGUGAGUAACACGUGGAUAACCUACCUAUAAGACUGGGAUAACUUCGGGAAACCGGAGCUAAUACCGGAUAAUAUUUUGAUCCGCAUGGUUCAAAAGUGAAAGACGGUCUUGCUGUCACUUAUAGAUGGAUCCGCGCUGCAUUAGCUAGUUGGUAAGGUAACGGCUUACCAAGGCAACGAUGCAUAGCCGACCUGAGAGGGUGAUCGGCCACACUGGAACUGAGACACGGUCCAGACUCCUACGGGAGGCAGCAGUAGGGAAUCUUCCGCGAUGGGCGAAAGCCUGACGGAGCAACGCCGCGUGAGUGAUGAAGGUCUUCGGAUCGUAAAACUCUGUUAUUAGGGAAGAACAUAUGUGUAAGUAACUGUGCACAUCUGGACGGUACCUAAUCAGAAAGCCACGGCUAACUACGU